UGCCAAUCAAUAUGUUUAUAACAGUUCGAUAUAAUAGCAAAUAAUAUAUUAUAACAGAUCAAUUUGGUGGCAAAAGUCAUGCUUAUUAUGUGUUCGGUUUAACAGUAACAUAAGGCAUGUUGUACGUACAAUCUCAAAUACCGAUACAAUAGACAAUGUAUUGAUCACAAUUCAUGCAAAUAUAUAUAAUAUUACUCUAGUCAAUCAAAUCAUGGAUUCUAACAUUAUUCAUAUCACCAAGGACUUGAUUGAAUAAAAUAAAACACUAAAAAU
rnacentral:lncRNA from 1 species